rnacentral:rRNA from 1 species
GAUGAACGCUGGCGGCGUGCCUAAUACAUGCAAGUUGAGCGAACGGACGAGAAGCUUGCUUCUCUGAUGUUAGCGGCGGACGGGUGAGUAACACGUGGAUAACCUACCUAUAAGACUGGGAUAACUUCGGGAAACCGGAGCUAAUACCGGAUAAUAUUUUGAACCGCAUGGUUCAAAAGUGAAAGACGGUCUUGCUGUCACUUAUAGAUGGAUCCGCGCUGCAUUAGCUAGUUGGUAAGGUAACGGCUUACCAAGGCAACGAUGCAUAGCCGACCUGAGAGGGUGAUCGGCCACACUGGAACUGAGACACGGUCCAGACUCCUACGGGAGGCAGCAGUAGGGAAUCUUCCGCAAUGGGCGAAAGCCUGACGGAGCAACGCCGCGUGAGUGAUGAAGGUCUUCGGAUCGUAAAACUCUGUUAUUAGGGAAGAACAUAUGUGUAAGUAACUGUGCACAUCUUGACGGUACCUAAUCAGAAAGCCACGGCUAACUACGUGCCAGCAGCCGCGGUAAUACGUAGGUGGCAAGCGUUAUCCGGAAUUAUUGGGCGUAAAGCGCGCGUAGGCGGUUUUUUAAGUCUGAUGUGAAAGCCCACGGCUCAACCGUGGAGGGUCAUUGGAAACUGGAAAACUUGAGUGCAGAAGAGGAAAGUGGAAUUCCAUGUGUAGCGGUGAAAUGCGCAGAGAUAUGGAGGAACACCAGUGGCGAAGGCGACUUUCUGGUCUGUAACUGACGCUGAUGUGCGAAAGCGUGGGGAUCAAACAGG